rnacentral:rRNA from 1 species
GUCUUUUUGAGUAUAAUUUAAAGUCUUACCUGCCCAAUGAAUAUUAAAUGGCCGCGGUAAUUUGACCGUGCAAAGGUAGCAUAAUCAUUAGUUUUUUAAUUGAAAACUGGAAUGAAUGGUUGGACAAGGAAAUAACUGUCUCUAUUAAAAUUUUAUUAGAACUUUACAUUUAAGUUAAAAGGCUUAAAUAAUUUUAAAAGACGAGAAGACCCUAUAGAGUUUAUAUAUUUUUAAAUUUAUAUUUGUUUUAGAAUCUUUAUUAAAUAUAAUAUUAAAAGUAUUUGGUUGGGGUNAUUUAAAAAUUGAUUGAACUUUUUAUAGAGUAAUACAUAGAUGAAUGAAUUUGUGAUCCAUACAUAAUGAUUAAAAGAUUAAAUUACCUUAGGGAUAACAGCGUAAUUUUAUUUGAGAGUUCUAAUCGAAAGUAGAGUUUGCGACCUCGAUGUUGGAUUUAAAA